rnacentral:rRNA from 1 species
UACGAAGGGGGCUAGCGUUGUUCGGAAUCACUGGGCGUAAAGCGCACGUAGGCGGACUUUUAAGUCAGGGGUGAAAUCCCAAGGCUCAACCUUGGAACUGCCCUUGAUACUGAGAGUCUCGAGUUCGGGAGAGGUGAGUGGAACUCCGAGUGUAGAGGUGAAAUUCGUAGAUAUUCGGAAGAACACCAGUGGCGAAGGCGGCUCACUGGCCCGAUACUGACGCUGAGGUGCGAAAGCGUGGGGAGCAAACAGG